GGUAAGAUGGCUGAGAGCUAAGCGGUGGAUUGUAGCCCCAUGGACAGAGGUUAAAAUCCUCUUUUUACCA
rnacentral:tRNA from 1 species